rnacentral:lncRNA from 1 species
GUGGUGGCUUCUUCAGGCAACUUCUUGAGGCACAAGGCCAGGGAGAAUUGAACUUUCUCUUGUGAUCGUAAGCUGCAAAAGACACCGCUGCAGGCAGAACACCGGGGCUGCCGCAGCAAUCCCUCCAAGUCCAGGCAAGGCCUUGAUGUGCUAAAUGCAAAGCUAAAGACUUUUCUUUUGUACUGACUUGCCUACUUCCUCUCAGCAGCAGCACUAAACACAACUUGCUGUCAGUGUAUACACAGCACCCUAUUUCUAACACCUCUGCCACCAUUCAGUAUGUGAAGUGUGUUCUGGCACACAUUUUAAAAUGGCUGUAUCAGCACUGUAUUAGCAUGUAGGCAGCUCAAGAUAAUAUUUGAAAAACCUGUGAGCAGACAAACCCUAAAAUUAGUAUGUCUUGUGUAGAUUUGGCCUGAAGAUGGGUAAAAACCUGAUCUGUACCAGUCAAACUGCAGUUCAGCUUUAGCCCCACAGCUCUAAAGGCAUGCUUGGUCUGGUACUCAGCAGCCACCUUUCCUGCACCUCUGAUCCACGGCUGAGAUGUGGGAAGUCAACGGUAGUGCCAUGGAAGCGGGAGGGUAUUAUUUUACAUAGCACGCAGAUUUAAUUUCAAGAUGUAUGCUGACAGCCUAUGCUACUCUCUCUGUCAUAAUAAAACAAGCAGCAAUAUGGAUACCAGAAAGAGGAGCACAGCUAGAGUUCUUUCUCCUCUUAAAUCAUUUUCCAAGGCAGUACAACACUCGCAACAUCUGCUUAGUAGGUAAGAAAGUUUCUUUCAAAAAACUGAAGCCAUGUCCAAGCAAACAAAAAAGAAGAAAACGUGAAAGUGACAAAUUAAGCAUAAUAACACAAAUCACAGACCAUCAACAAAUGUUUUAAGGAAUACUUGCUAAACCCAGAAAAAUUAGAAGCAAACUCUUCCUCAAAGCCAUUAGGUGUGGGGGAAUCUCCUUUGGAGUCAUUAAGGCCAAUUGGCAUAUAAAUGAGAGGAUGAGAUACAGCAGAAAAAAAACAAUGGUAUUCCUGCAUGUUUCCUCAAGCUGGAAGUCUUAGGAAAUUCACACUCCAGAAUUCUUCUAUACAAGGACAAAUCAGGAGAUCUGUUUUAAACUGAAAUGUCUGUGGAGGAGGUUAUAGAACAAAUUUACAAAAUGAACAGUAGCAAACUACCAGGACCAUAUGGUAUUUACCCAGGAGAUCUAAAGGAAAUUGAGGAUGAAAUAGCUGAAUUACUAUCUGUGGUGUACAGUCUCUUUCUGAAAACUGCCUCUGUACUAAAGAUGUGGAAGGUGGUGAUUGCGACAGUAACUUUUAAAAAGCAUCUCAUUUAGGAAUUCUGCUAUUACAGACCAGUGAUCUGAGAAGUAUGACACAAUGUAAAAAAAAUAAUCCUAACUUUACAUGCAGUGUGAGAAACUCUGUACUAAAUACUACCACUCAUUAAAAAAAGUCUUGGAAAUUUAACACAUAACUCUAUGAAAAAGCCAGUUUUAUGUUCAGUAACAGUCAAGGAGCCAAGUACAAAAUAUGAUGGAAUUUUGGGGUAUUACGCUUAUUAUUUGGCAUAUGACCCCCUUCUUAAAACACACACCAAACUUAUUCUAUUUUUUCCAGUUGUUCUGAUAAGCAUAUUGCCUUUAUUUCCAAGCCACUUGUAUUGAUAUGUCUUUAGACCAACACAGCAAGAACAAUGCUACCAAUAAAAGAUCAGGAAAUUGUUACUGCA